rnacentral:rRNA from 1 species
GACGAACGCUGGCGGCGUGCUUAACACAUGCAAGUCGAACGGAAAGGCCCUGCUUUUGUGGGGUGCUCGAGUGGCGAACGGGUGAGUAACACGUGAGUAACCUGCCCCUGACUUUGGGAUAACUUCAGGAAACUGGGGCUAAUACCGGAUAGGAGCUCCUGCUGCAUGGUGGGGGUUGGAAAGUUUCGGCGGUUGGGGAUGGACUCGCGGCUUAUCAGCUUGUUGGUGGGGUAGUGGCUUACCAAGGCUUUGACGGGUAGCCGGCCUGGGAGGGUGACCAGCCACAAUGGGACUGAGAUAGGGCCCAGACUCCUACGGGAGGCAGCAGGGGGGAAUAUUGCACAACGGGGGGAAGCCUGAUGCAGCAACGCCGCGUGCGGGAUGACGGCCUUCGGGGUGUAAACCGCUUUCGAAUGUGACGAAGCGGGAGUGACGGUAAUGAGUAAGGAAGCAACGGCUAACUACGUG